AUUGAACGCUGGCGGCAGGCCUAACACAUGCAAGUCGAGCGGAUGAAGGGAGCUUGCUCCUGGAUUCAGCGGCGGACGGGUGAGUAAUGCCUAGGAAUCUGCCUGGUAGUGGGGGAUAACGUCCGGAAACGGGCGCUAAUACCGCAUACUACCUGAGGGAGAAAGUGGGGGAUCUUCGGACCUCACGCUAUCAUAUGAGCCUAGGUCGGAUUAGCUAGUUGGUGGGGUAAAGGCCUACCAAGGCGACGAUCCGUAACUGGUCUGAGAGGAUGAUCAGUCACACUGGAACUGAGACACGGUCAAGACUCCUACGGGAGGCAGCAGUGGGGAAUAUUGGACAAUGGGCGAAAGCCUGAUCCAGCCAUGCCGAGUGUGUGAAGAAGGUCUUCGGAUUGUAAAGCACUUUAAGUUGGGAGGAAGGGAAGUAAGUUCAUACCUUGCUGUUUUGACGUUACCAACAGAAUAAGCACCGGCUAACUUCGUG
rnacentral:rRNA from 1 species